rnacentral:lncRNA from 1 species
GAAAACUGUCCCAGGAGAUUCAUCCCCCCUGGAUUAUUCUUCUUCCUAUGGCCCUACUAUGUUAGAAACACCCCUUUGAAACUGGGCUUAAGUCCCUUUGAAAUGAUGUAUGGACAGCCUUUCUCACCAAUGAUUUCUUGCUAGACCAAGAAACCUCUGAUUUGAUUAAACAUGUAAUUUAUUUGGCCCAUUUCCAACAGGAACUGAAACAACUAUUGGAGCUUCAAUUCUGUAAACCGGGGCCACCUCUAUUCAACCCAGGGGACCUAGUACUAAUAAAGGCUCUUCCUUCUCUUUUCCCUCUGUAGGCUUGGAUUGGGAGGGAACUCAGACUGUACUUCUUUCUACUCUUUCAGCAGUAAAGGUCACUGAAAUAGAUUAUUGGAUUAAUUAUACUCCGGUACAGUCCAAGGGAACUGACAGAAUUACUUCUAUUGACCUAAAAGAGCACCCAAAGUACCAAUGUGAAGAGAGACCUCAAGCUAAAGAUCAUAAAAGAACUUGUUGAUCAUCUGGAUGCAGUGACUCACACCUAUAAUCCCAGCAUUUGGGGAGACCAAAGCAGGAGAAUCACUUGAGGCCGAAGUUCAAGACCAACCUGAGCAAUGUGGCAAGAUCC